rnacentral:rRNA from 1 species
UGGGGAAUUUUGGACAAUGGGCGAAAGCCUGAUCCAGCAAUGCCGCGUGUGUGAAGAAGGCCUUCGGGUUGUAAAGCACUUUUGUCCGGAAAGAAAUCCUUGGCUCUAAUACAGUCGGGGGAUGACGGUACCGGAAGAAUAAGCACCGGCUAACUACGUGCCAGCAGCCGCGGUAAUACGUAGGGUGCAAGCGUUAAUCGGAAUUACUGGGCGUAAAGCGUGCGCAGGCGGUUUGCUAAGACCGAUGUGAAAUCCCCGGGCUCAACCUGGGAACUGCAUUGGUGACUGGCAGGCUAGAGUAUGGCAGAGGGGGGUAGAAUUCCACGUGUAGCAGUGAAAUGCGUAGAGAUGUGGAGGAGUACCGAUGGCGAAGGCAGCCCCCUGGGCCAAAUACUGACGCUCAUGCACGAAAGCGUGGGGGAGCAAACAGGAUUAGAUACCCUGGUAGUCCACGCCCUAAACGAUGUCAACUAGUUGUUGGGGAUUCAUUUCCUUAGUAACGUAGCUAACGCGUGAAGUUGACCGCCUGGGGAGUACGGUCGCAAGAUUAAAACUUAAAUGAAUUGACGGGGUCAUAGCUGUUUCCU